rnacentral:rRNA from 1 species
AAAUGAGUUAAAACUUUCAACAACGGAUCUCUUGGUUCUGGCAUCGAUGAAGAACGCAGCGAAAUGCGAUAAGUAAUGUGAAUUGCAGAAUUCCAGUGAAUCAUCGAAUCUUUGAACGCACAUUGCGCCCAUUAGCAUUCUAGUGGGCAUGCCUG